GGUUCGAGUAUGAAUGAAGUUUUGAUAAUUUUUUUUAUUAAUUUUAUAAUGAAUUUUUUUUGUAAAUAAAAAAUUUUGUUUUUAUUUUUGCAAAGAUAAGUCUUCGUAAAUUCUUUUUAAUUUUUUUUUUAAAAAAAAAUUAAAGUUUUCUAGGGUAGAAUUUUUUGUAUGUAUAUUUUUCUAUUAUUAGUUUAGAGAAUUACUUCGGAGUUAACAGAAAUUCAUAUUUUAUCUAGUUCUUAUAGUAAAGUAAGUUUUACAUCGGUGUUGUAUUUAUAUUGUUUGGGAGGUAGAAUGUUCAAUAUUUAAGACUGUUCUUCUUUUUAGUAUAACGUGAUAUUAGUUUAAUUCAUCGUGAGAUAGAAUUGUUUAUCUUGAAAAAUAAUUUUUUUUUUUAGGUUUUUAGUACGAAAGGAAAAAUAGUUGAAGUUAAAAACUUUAUGAUGUACGG
rnacentral:rRNA from 1 species